UUACGGCUAUACCAGGUUGAAACACCGGUUAUCGUACAAUCGCCGAAGUUAAGCAACGCUGAGCCUGGUCAGUACCUAGAUGGCUGUCUCCUUGGAAAUACCAGGUGCAG